UGCAAGUCGAGCGGAAACGAUGGUAGCUUGCUACCAGGCGUCGAGCGGCGGACGGGUGAGUAACGCGUGAGAAUCUGCCCAUUUGUGGGGGAUAACUCGGGGAAACUCGAGCUAAUACCGCAUAAUCCCUACGGGGGAAAGCAGGGGACCUUCGGGCCUUGUGCAGAUGGAUGAGCUCGCGUCGGAUUAGCUUGUUGGUGAGGUAAAGGCUCACCAAGGCGACGAUCCGUAGCUGGUCUGAGAGGAUGAUCAGCCACACCGGGACUGAGACACGGCCCGGACUCCCACGGGAGGCAGCAGUGGGGAAUCUUGGACAAUGGGGGCAACCCUGAUCCAGCCAUGCCGCGUGUGUGAAGAAGGCCUUCGGGUUGUAAAGCACUUUCAGUAGGGAGGAAGGCUUACCGCUAAUAACGGUGAGUACUUGACGUUACCUACAGAAGAAGCACCGGCUAAUUUCGUGCCAGCAGCCGCGGUAAUACGAAAGGUGCGAGCGUUAAUCGGAAUUACUGGGCGUAAAGCGCGCGUAGGCGGUUUGUUAAGUCAGAUGUGAAAGCCCCGGGCUCAACCUGGGAAUUGCAUUUGAAACUGGCAGGCUAGAGUGCAGUAGAGGGAGGUGGAAUUUCCGGUGUAGCGGUGAAAUGCGUAGAGAUCGGAAGGAACACCAGUGGCGAAGGCGGCCUCCUGGACUGACACUGACGCUGAGGUGCGAAAGCGUGGGGAGCAAACAGGAUUAGAUACCCUGGUAGUCCACGCCGUAAACGAUGUCUACUAGUCGUUGGGAAUCUUAGUAUUCUUGGUGACGAAGUUAACGCGAUAAGUAGACCGCCUGGGGAGUACGGCCGCAAGGUUAAAACUCAAAUGAAUUGACGGGGGCCCGCACAAGCGGUGGAGCAUGUGGUUUAAUUCGAUGCAACGCGAAGAACCUUACCAGGCCUUGACAUCCUUGGAACUUUCUAGAGAUAGAUUGUUGCCUUCGGGAGCCAAGUGACAGUGCUGCAUGGCUGUCGUCAGCUCGUGUCGUGAGAAUGUUGGGUUAAGUCCCGUACGAGCGCAACCCUGUCCUAGUUGCAGCACUUCGGUGACUCUAGGAGACUGCGGUGACAAUCGAGAGGUGGGACGACGUCAGUCAUCAUGCCUACGGCCUGGCUACACUCUGCUACAAUGGCAGUACAAAGGCAGCGAGUCUCGCGAGUCUACU
rnacentral:rRNA from 1 species